ACGGGAGGCCCGGGCGGCGAGGAGGAGCCGUCCCGAGGGACCCCGAGCACUCCGGGUGCGGGGUGUGUAUGUGUGUGCGAGGGGGCUGUUCUGGGGAGCGAACACCCAGCGGCCGCCGGGAAGGAGAGUUUUCUUAUCAUCUAAAGAUCAAAUAUGGGCCCUGAAGCUGAGAUAAAGCAGCAAGCAAACCCUUUCUACUGCAGUGCAUAAACCAGCUGUGAUUGGAAAACUUCAUAUGCAUGUGAGUGAGGCAAGCUCUGAACUGAUGAGGGCAAGUAUCUUGGUCUGGAUGGAGCGCUGAGAACUGGAUCAUCUUUGACAGGUUGACAAAGCACUGAAAGCUCAUGGCAUUGUUAAAACAGCAUGUGGCUCAGGGGAGAGAGUGAAAACACCUAUAAAACUUCCUGAUUAUGUGCAAACUGAGCCAGAGGUGUUUGUUUUAUGGACAGACCUUGGAAGAACAGCUUAACACGUGUAAAGAUUCAGAACCUGCAGUUGGUGAGGGCUUUUAAUACUGUAAUUGCUUGUGUGAUGUUCACCUUUAAGGAGUGAUGAUUAUCUUUUUUAAAAUGUAAAAUUAGGUAAUGUGUAAUAAAAUCUCCCUAUGUUUACACUGAGUACCCAAUAGUACGGUAGGAAAGUGACCGACAGUGGCAAAAUCAUUGGGUUUGGCCUGGAAUAUUGUUUGAUUAGGGUAGACACCACAUAUUGAGAAUAUUCUCUAGAAAAAAUCUAAGGUGAUGUAACAGAACUGAAGUUUGACUUAGAUGGUCAUUACUCUUUUUUUGCAGUUUAACUGCCCAUCCUGUGAAGGGGAGAGUGGAGUGGACAGGAAAAAUAACUACAGGGGCAUAUAUUAAGAUACAUUCCCAUCUAAACAGUUACUAAAGAGGUGUUGCUAUUAUUUUAUUAGACGAUUUAAAAAAAAAUUGUCAAGUUCUAUGUGGUAAAUAUAAAGCAUCUUAAAAAAACAGUUUUGUACCUUUGAUGUUGAGGAAGUUUAGACACCCAAAAGAUAAAAAAACCUGAUGAUUCUAAAAAUCUUGAUUUACAUGUUUGGCAUGCAGCAGUAAUGAUUUCCUUGAAUGUCGCUUUUGUAACUAGCACUGGUUAUUUGUUUCAGCAAACAGCAAAUUUCCUAACUUUUUUUGUUAUCAAUACAGGACUUAAUUAUAUAAUUGAAUACCAAUCAAAAGACAAUUUCUCUUUUCUCUAUGAAUGUCAGCUGUGCCACUGUAAAACAGGACUGAGUAACAUGUUCAUGCAUGUUUGUGGUUCCAAGCAUGUACUGGCAUACCUGAUAGGUUUGUAGAGUAAAGGUUGUGGGCUGUUGUUGUUAUUUUUUAAUGUAAUGAUUUAAGUAGAGAAUUUGCUAGUCAUAUUAUGAUUUAAAAAAAAUAAGGUGUUACCUGAGCUUUUGUGAAAAUGUGUGUGUUUGUAUUGCAACCAAGCAAAUAAUGUGAUAAAUGGAUUUAAAAUUCUUCUCAUCAGUAAGGUUUAUGCCUGUCCAUUGCUGAUGCUGAGUUUUUAGUUUCUGUUUUGGUUGACGAGUAAUGCCAAUAAUGAAAUCUACAGCUAAAAUUGACUAGAAGUAGGUUUUUUACUAAAUUUUUUGUUAUCUUAAAGAACUAGAUCAAUGAAGAAAUUGUUCCAUCUUUCAGAUGCUUUAGGUUAAAAGGAACAUAAUUAUAAAUGAGGAUGAGAUGUAUUGGAUAGAGGCUGUAACUCGGAAUCAGGAGAAAAAAAUUAUUUCCAGUUUUAUGGCUGGACAAGCCAUGUAAGUUCUGUGGCUGUUUUAUGGAAAUUUGCAAAGCUCUUAAGGUUCAUGUCAGCCUACAAAUAUUUAGAUACAUUAUUUUUUUCUGUAUGUUUACAGAAAUGAGGCUGUCUAGUCUUUGAAUGUUUACUUGAAUGUAUUUGUUUAGGAUAGGCUUUAACAAAACUGAGAAAGCAAUAUUCUGAAAAGUAUUUUGAUACUUCCCAUAAAAUAUCUGCUCAAAGAUAUCCCACAUAUCUUAAAGUAAUAGAAAGCUGAGUUCAUAUAGCAUUUUGAGGCUGUUUUAGAGCUAAUGUUGUUAUUGGGUGUACUGCAAUGGAUCUGCAAUUAUGUCCUUCGUAAACAUCAUGCUGUUUCUGGUCAUUAAUUCAGAUGUACAUGCUGAGUUUUGAUGUUCUUAGCUCUUGUAUUUCUUGUUUACUUUGAACUGUUUCCUGCGGUUCUGAAUCUUGCACUUGCUAACUGCAUCUCUGCUAUAUCGUUAAAUACCAUAAAAUGUAAGAACUUGACAAGGAUAACUUUCAAGUCAUGCAUCUGGGAUGGAUUAACCCUAGGCGGUGGGAAAGACAGGAGACUGAACGGCUGGAAUUUGCUCUGCUCAAAAGGAGCUGGGGGUCCUGGUGGACAAAAAGCUAAAGAUACGUACUGUACCUUGGCAUCAACGACAGCUGACAGGAAGCUGAGCUAUACUAACAAGAGUCAGAGAGCCAGUAGAUGAAGAGAAGUGAUUAUUCUCUUGUUCUUGAUGCUUGUUAGGCCGUAUCUAGAAUAUUGUGUCCAGUUUUGUGUUACUGCAGACAAGAAAACUAUUGAUGACAUUGAGCGAGUCCAGUGGAGAGCUGCCGAGAUGUGCAGGAGGCUGAAGAACUUGCCAUGGGAGGAGCUGCUAAGAAACAACAUUAUCCUGAGAUAGCAGAAUCUGAUGAAGCUAGGGGUAAAGGCUCCGAAAUGAACAGAUAAGUUAGGCAAGUUGCAUUAACAAUUGAGAAGAGGGAAGAAAACAAAUAAAGCAUUCGACAGGGGUCCAUCUUAAGUCCAGCACUCUUCAAUAUCUUCACAAAUGACUUAGACUCAGGACUCAAGGAUUGCUUAGUAAGUUUGCUGAUGACACAAAACUUGGGGGAGCUGUCGACACUCUCAAGGGCAGAGAGGCCAUGCAGAGGGAUCUGGACAAAUUGGAGAACUGAGCAAUCACCAACUGCGUGAGUUUCAACAAGGGCAAGUGCCAAAUUUUGUACCUGGGACACGGCAACCCUGGCUGUACAUACAGACUGGGGGACGAGGUGCUGGAAAGCAGCUCUGUGGAGACGGGUCUGGGGGUUCUGGUUGACGGCAAGUUGAACAUGAGCCAACAGUGUCCCUGGCAGCCAAGAGGACCACCCGUGUCCUGGGUGCAUCCAGCACAGCAUUGCCAGCCGGGCGGGAGAGGUGAUUGUCCCGCUCUGCUCUGCACUGGUGCGGCCUCACCUGGAGCACUGGGUGCAGUUCCGGGCAACACAGGAUAAAAAGGUUAUAAAGCUACUGGAGAGUGUUCAGAGGAGGACCACGAAGUUGGUGAAGGGUUUGGAGGGGAAGCCGUAUGAGGAGCAGCUAAAGUCACUUAGUUUGUUCAGCCUGGAGAAGAGGAGACUGAGGGGAGACCUCAUGGCAGCUACAGCUUCCUCACAAGGGGAGAAGGAGGGGCAGGCGCUGAUCUCUUCUCCCUGGUGACCAGUGACAGGACCCGAGGGAAUGUGAGGAAGAUGUGCCAGGGGAGGUUCAGGUUGGACAUGAGGAAAAGGUUCUUCCCCCAGAGGGUGGUGGAGCACUGGAACAGGCUCCCCAGGGAGGUAUCACAGCCCCAAGCCUGACAGUGUUCAAGAAGAAACUGGACAACGCCCUCAGACACACGGUGUGAACUGUGGGGUUGUCACAUGCAGGGACAGGAGCUGGAUUUCGUGAUCCUUGUGAGUCCCUUCCAACUCAGGACAUUCUCUGAUUUUAUGUUUACUCUGGACACAAUUCCCAUUGGUCACUCCCAUCGUAAGUAUUUCUCUUGUUUGAAAUAACACUCAUGCUACCUGAGUCUACAGAAACACAACUCUAGAGUGCACAAAUAACAUACUAAUAUUUAAUCAAUUUCCAGCUCUGUGUGUGUGUAAAAUAAUUUGUUUUGUUGUUGCUAGGAAACUAUGACUUUUCUGAAUUAGUUUUUGCUAGCACCUUGUGGCAACUCUCAGAGGAGCCAGGUAGAAAUCUUGAUAGUACAAAGGGAAAUGAGGGAAUUUACAGGUAGAUAUGAGAUUAUCAGCAAUGCCAUGGGAUCCCAGGAGUGCCACAAGCUUACAUUCUUGGGGAGCUGCACCUUAGAAGCAUGUUCUUAAGAAGACAUCUUAAUAUUGCUUCUGUUGAUGCUUAUACCACAGUAGUAUUGAGAAAAGUUUACCACCUUUAUCUGGGCAUCAUAGUGGCAAAGUUUCUUCUUGAGCUGUACCUUACCAUUCUGAUUCAUGACAAGCUUAUUCAAGUGCUUAGUGUUCUUUAUGGUAUACAUUAAAUCUGUUUUCUCCAUCAAUUCCAAUGUCUGUCAACAUCCUGCUUGGUAAGUAGUGUUUCUUGGCAGGAUCUCUUGCUAAAGCUACUUAAUGUGCGUGGGCUAUGUCUCAGUUUCAAAGCAGAGUGCACAGCGUUACUGUGUUUAAUCUCCUUAUGUCCUGCCCAUCUGAAAAAGAGACCUGUAUUUCUUUCUUUGUGAUAUUAUCACAGCUAGGCUUGCGGAUGAGAGCCUGUACUGAUCCUACUAUUUUUGGAUUAAAAAAAGUAUGGGAAUAUUGGAAGAUCAAGUCUCUCAUCUAGAGUGAAUGCUCUAGAAGAGAGAGAUUUCUGAACAUCAAAUUCAAUCUGUCUGCAUAUCCUUCAUUUUUAACAUCAGCUUAAAAAGAAAAACAAAACUGGCUAUUGGCAGUGAUUUUUCUUUUGGCCUGUGUAAUAAAUUCAAGUGUUUUUACUCAAGACUGUAUACUUUACUUUAGAGCUAUGUUCAUGGAUAUAGAGAUAAUUAAUUCCAUUUAUAUUUUGCAGAAUUUUUUGUUUCUCUAGGAACAGUUUCACUACAUCCAUAGCAAAUCAAUCCUUGAUUUAAGGAACUUUUAAAUAGAGUGUGCAUAAUCUGGUUUAGUUUUACUGCUAUAUUUUCUGAAACCAGGUAUUUCAUUUUUUUAGCUCUAACAAAAAUUUAAUUGUGGUAAAUAAGUGUCCAGGCUUUUGAAUAUCCACUCAGGGAUUUACACUACUGGUCAUAUACCCUUAAAAAAAAAAAAUAGUAUUUAACUCUAAUGAAAUACCUAUGGAAACAUUUUAUCCACAAAAUAGCUAACAUAAACAGGUUUUAUUUUUAGGUUGUUACAGAUUCUCCAAUAAUGAGGAGAAGAUGGCAAGCAUGUAAGUUUGCUCAGUCAGAUGUAAAUUGUAUGUUUCUAAUUUGGGUAAACUCCCUUUAAUCUAAAUCAGCUUGAUUUAAGGGCAAAUUAAAAUAUUUGGUCAGUAAUUGUAGUCUGUGCUUAUGUUUUAAGCUGCAUUUUGUAUGGUUUAUAUUGAAAAAUUGAUAGAUGAACAAGUUCUUCCACGGGCAACAUAACUACACAGACCUGAUCUAUAGGGCUUUGUUCUCUCUCCCUUUUUCCAUCCCAGCUGCCCCUUGCUUCCCCUUUACCUAGGAAUUCUUUUUAUCUGGUAAUUGCUGUAGUCUCUGCAGUGCUAACUGCUCAUGGGGCUUUUGGUGAACGGGGCAAAAGAAGCAGGUUGGAGCUCCAUGUGUGUAUUUAAUUUACAGUCCAGAAAGUCAGCUGGAGCUCCUAAAGCACAGCUAUAGCUCUUUUCUGUGGAAGAAAGCUUUCUGUGUAACUAGCCAUUAAUACUCACAAAAUUGGAGGAAUGCGGUAUCUCUGGGACUUCUCCACUCAGCUUACAACUCUUUCAAAACUCAUUGUAGUACAAUGUCAUCCAGAUGGACAGACAGGACAACUGCAUUCUACAAAUUACUACAAGACACUCAUUCUCAGACCUGCAUGAAAAAUAAAUUUGAAUUAAAACUAAUUUACUUAAUUUUAAUGCAUAUCGGGAUGUAAAUGGUGUCUUAAAAUAGCUCAAUAAAAGUAAUGAGAAGAUUAUUUCUAUAAUGAUCUAGAUUAGCAGUGUCAUGCUCUGAAGAGGAAAGAUAUCCAUUUUGAAUCGAGGAAAGUGUUCUGAAUGCUAAACAGCAAGACUUUACAGCAAAUCCUGAAGAAUUCAUGAGUCAAGAGGAACUGUUGAGUUACUUAUUUAAAGGUGUUUGGUUCUAAUCCAGAAGACUUCAAAUCGUUAGGACAGACCUGCAGUUCUGUUGCAUCGUGCCCAUUGAAGUAUUUUCAGCAGAACUUUAUUAUUAUAGUAAAGUUUUGAGAUUCUGAAUGGAGAUGAUGCUUCAUUUAUCCUGAAAGUAACACAGACCCUUACAGAUGCGCUGGUGGAAUAUCAUCAGCAGGCUGCAUCAAACAAAGACCUCAUAGAUGCUGAAUAUAAUGGAGAAGCAGCACUGGAAUAUUACACAGAAUGGUCUGACCUGACUUCAGCAGAUAUUAGUGACGCUGAUACUGGCUAUUCAAGCAGCCAGUCAGCCAAACAAUCCUUGUCAGUAAAUUAAGAAGAUGAACCCCAAAACUCUUCAGCUGGCUCUUUGGAAACAGUAUAUGAGGACAACAUCACUACUGAAUUUUUGAACAGCUUAAGAAAUACUAAUGUUCAAGAAGUUACUGCUACUCUACACAAAAUAGUAGCAGCAAAUCCAGCUUUCAGAGGAAUCGAUAUUCCGAAUGUUGCAAGGAUCCUGACUGAAAAUGGAACUCUGAGAAGACCAAGUAACGGCAGCACAGUGUGUCAUGGUAGUUAAUAGAGUUAAUGUAGCAAUGCUUACUUUCUGCAAGUUUGUUGUUUUACUUAAUAUGAACUCAUUGUAGCUGAGGUUGUUAUGUUCAAAUUUUGUACAGUGUCAUUUUAAUUAAUAACUUGUUAUUUAUUUAUCCAUAUAGCUGAAAUUUCUGUAUUUGUGGAAAGGUUGUAAAGCUCAUGUUCUUUCUUUCCAUGUUAAAGCAUACUUUUAAAACAAGUAACAGUUUUUUUUUCUGAAUAUCAUUAAAUACCGUACACUGAUAGUCUGAUAAUUUCUUAUUGUUGGUUCUUUUACAAAGAGUUAUCAGCAGAAUGACCUACUGCCAUCAGCAGUAUAAAUUCAUCCUACAACAAAUACUUGGAUGUUAUUCCCUGUGGCUGCUAGGCCUGGCUCAAAAGCUUUUGUAAUAAAAAAUCCUCUCCUAUUUAAGGGUUAAGAAUAGGUGUCCACAAUUUUUUAAAAUAAAGAUUAAUAAUAAACAUUCAGUGCUGUCAGUCUAGUUCUGAGUUGAGAAGUGCCUGGACUAUAGUGAAUUUAGGAAGCAUAGAUAAUUGGAAGCUUUAACAAAGUCAACAGAGAUCGGCCGUGCUUGCAAAUUCGGGAAUAUGUCCCAAGAGAUCUAACCAGACAAUGGUUAAGAGGCGCAGAUAUUUGCAAAUCUGCAGCAAAAGUAUCUUUUGUCCUUCCUUAUCCCAGCAUCAGGAGAAUGAAAUGAAAGCUGGCUUAUACAGUCCUUCAGUUCAGGCUCUUUUAACGUGAACUUUUUUCCAAAUCAAGUAGUAGUCUUUUUGACUGAGUGCAAGGAUCUAAAUAUCAAUGACUACUACUUUUGUAGGAUAAUGACAAAUAUUUUGUAUGGAUACAAAUUACUGUGCUUGGGGGAAAAAAAUUAAAGUUAAAUUGUGUAAUUAAAAUUUGCUUCCUGCUUGUGAUGUUCGGUAGCAUUCAGUGGUUCUAAAUAUAGCUUUUCAGUUUUGCAGCCAAAUGCUGGUACAACAUAGAUGUGCUGGGGCCAGAUGGUAAAUGAACCUUUUAAUGUUAACUUACUUUUUUUUUUGAGAUCUGGAUGGAAUUGAGGAUCCUCAUCCUGAUGGUUUCACAUCUUCAUAUCAUGGAAUGCAAGAUACCAUAAAAGUAAGGGUAAUAAAGAAAGCAGCAAUUAAAUUGGUUAGUUUUGUUCUAUGAACACACACAGGAAUGAAAGAGGUUAUAUGACAAUUCAAGAAAUUAAAACACAAAAUGCUGUUUUAAAGAAAUUGUGGAGAACUUCUAGAAUGCCUCUCAAUAUGUUAUCAGAAGCAGAGACAGAACCAGAGCUCUUACAGCUCAUUUACUCUAUGAUAGGGACAAUGUUAAUGUCUGCUUAAUGAAGGUGAACUUGAUCAGUAAAAGCAUCUUUUAGUUGGUAUGAAAUUCUGAAUUCUGUUCCUGUAAUACAGAAAAUAAAAAUCGAAACAUCUUUUUGUUUGUUUGUUUUUGAAAUGCAGAAAGUGGCUGAGUUGCCAUCCCUGGAGGUGUUUAAAAGACAUGUAGAUGAGAUUCUUAAGGAUGUGGUUUAGUGCCAGUGUUAGGUUAAUGGUUGGACUCGAUGACCUUGAGUGUCUCUUCCAACCAAAAUGAUUCUAUUAAUUAAAAUAAUAAGAUCAGAAUGUUCAGCUGUUGUAAAUGGCCAUAUCUGGGACAGCUUUUUUCUCUUACUGUGGAAUCAUUCCUAGUGGAAAUAAAAUUCAGUUGAAAUUA